rnacentral:rRNA from 1 species
AGGCUUAACACAUGCAAGUCGAGCGCCCCGGCAAGGGGAGCGGCAGACGGGUGAGUAACGCGUGGGAACGUACCCUUUACUACGGAAUAACGCAGGGAAACUUGUGCUAAUACCGUAUGUGCCCUUCGGGGAAAGAUUUAUCGGUAAAGGAUCGGCCCGCGUUGGAUUAGCUAGUUGGUGGGGUAAAGGCCUACCAAGGCGACGAUCCAUAGCUGGUCUGAGAGGAUGAUCAGCCACAUUGGGACUGAGACACGGCCCAAACUCCUACGGGAGGCAGCAGUGGGGAAUAUUGGACAAUGGGCGCAAGCCUGAUCCAGCCAUGCCGCGUGAGUGAUGAAGGCCCUAGGGUUGUAAAGCUCUUUCACCGGAGAAGAUAAUGACGGUAUCCGGAGAAGAAGCCCCGGCUAACUUCGUGCCAGCAGCCG